UAUUUUAAUAAUUACUAUUUAAAAACAUUAAUAUUUCAAUGUUUUUUUAACGAUAACCUGCUACGUCUUUCUGAAAUAGUAUAUCCGGCUUUUGAAAAGAUUCCUUCACACGGAACAGAACUCGACGGCACACACAACCGUAAUAACAUCAUCUCAAACAAAUUUGGAUAGAUAUUUCUUCUAUUAUUCCACCACUUAAGUGGAUCUGAUUUUCUGUCGAGUAACGGCUCACUUAUAUAUCGGUCGAUCUCCACUGUAACGAUUGUUACAUAUUAUUAAUGUCUACUCAUGUAAUAUGGAUAUUGCUGAGUAGACAUCACGUUAAUUUACAUGUUAUUACAUUAAGUCGCGGUAGUUCUGCCACAACGUUCGUCCGAGGUAGCUGAACUCCAUAGUCCUAAAGAAGGAAAAUUUAAUUUGAAAACCGACAGUUUUUAACUAAAGAGGACGGAAUAAUAUUAUUUUGUUACUGAAUAGCUCAUGGACCAUGCCAGUUUGUUUGAUUUGCCAUCAGACAGAAGCUGUUUUUAAAGUUCAAUAUUAAACGUCAAUACAAGACUUCACAUAAGUAAAUUGCUGAAUAUGUUUAUAUUUAUAAUAUAUGUUAAUAAAAAUAUUUGCUUUGAA